GCGCCUGCGCUCUUCCCUCUGCAGGCGUCUCCAGCCCAGGAGGCUUGGAGGACUCCUGGGUUAGAGAAGCCCCUCCCUCCGUGGAGGCUGUUGUGUUCUCAGGGACCCGGCAUGAACAGCAGCUCCGACUCGCCCGGGCGACCCACCAUCGCCUGGUUAGGUCCAGGCCUCUUGGGGAGGGCCGGGUCGGUACUGUCACAACCGCCGGUGACACCAGCUCCCACCGGCCUGUGCGCACGAGCCCAUACACACAAUACAAGUACGCGUAAUUAGGGAGACUCCAAAACAGUCCAUGUCUCCAAGCCUCCUUAGAUGGCUGCAUGACAUGUGUGUGAGGCUGGUUCCUGUUGCUGCAUUUAUAACUGCUACAAAAAAUGCCACCAUGUCACCAACAUGAAGAAGAGAAAAUUCUUCCUCAAUGGCAAAGUCCAGAAGGAAACUACCCAGAUUCUGGGACUCACCUAGCAAAGAGUUGUCUGUUGUGCCUUCCUACAAGGAAGAGAAACUGUAAUUUCUACUUGACUUCAUUCACUAAUGGUGCCUGUGAUGAUGGAUGAAGCCCGGAGCUACCUAGAAAAGAGACAGAAACAGGAUGAUGGCAGUCAAGACCAGACUUCAAAGGCAAG